rnacentral:rRNA from 1 species
GACGUAGGGCGCGAGCGUUGUCCGGAUUUAUUGGGCGUAAAGGGCUCGUAGGCGGCUUGUUGCGUCUGCCGUGAAAGGCCUCGGCUUAACUGGGGUUUUGCGGUGGAUACGGGCAGGCUUGAGGCAAUUAGGGGAGAUCGGAAUUCUACGUGUAGCGGUGAAAUGCGCAGAUAUGUGGAGGAACACCGGUGGCGAAGGCGGAUCUCUGGGAUUGUUCUGACGCUGAGGAGCGAAAGCGUGGGGAGCGAACAGGAUUAGAAACCCCUGUAGUCC